rnacentral:lncRNA from 1 species
CAAGAACAAGACUACACAAAUUCAAGAUCAAUCCAGACGUAAAUCAAGGAAGAGGACCAACAGGAGAAAUAGGAACAAGCAAGUGUGGACCGAGUCAGCUAAGAUGGUCACUGUAGUCCAUGGAGGCCAAGAUCAUCAACUUAAGUCACCGUUUUUGACCAAGAAGGACGACCCAGGAAUGCCAAGCAUUUACUGCUCCAUACAUGGAUAUAGCUUCUACAAGACGAUUUGCGACACCGGAUCGGGCGUCAACAUAAUGGCCGC